rnacentral:rRNA from 1 species
UGGGGAAUAUUGCACAAUGGGCGAAAGCCUGAUGCAGCAACGCCGCGUGCGGGAAGAAGGCCCUAGGGUUGUAAACCGCUUUCAGCAGGGAAGAAAAUGACGGUACCUGCAGAAGAAGGUGCGGCCAACUACGUGCCAGCAGCCGCGGUGACACGUAGGCACCAAGCGUUGUCCGGAUUUAUUGGGCGUAAAGAGCUCGUAGGCGGUUUCGUAAGUCGGGUGUGAAAACUCUGGGCUCAACCCAGAGACGCCACCCGAUACUGCGAUGACUUGAGUACGGUAGGGGAGCGGGGAAUUCCUGGUGUAGCGGUGAAAUGCGCAGAUAUCAGGAGGAACACCAGUGGCGAAGGCGCCGCUCUGGGCCGUAACUGACGCUGAGGAGCGAAAGCGUGGGUAGCAAACAGGAUUAGAUACCCUGGUAGUCCACGCCGUAAACGUUGGGCACUAGGUGUGGGUCUCGAACCAACGAGAUCCGCGCCGUCGCUAACGCAUUAAGUGCCCCG